GAUGAACGCUGGCGGCGUGCUUAAUACAUGCAAGUCGAACGAAGUCAGUAGCAAUAUUGGCUGAGUGGCGAACGGGUGAGUAACGCGUUGGUGACCUGCCCCGAAGAGAGGGAUAACAGUCCGAAAGGAUUGCUAAUACCCCAUGUGGUCGUUUGGAUUAGAUGCCUUACGACUAAACGGAUUUAUUCGCUUCGGGAGGGGCCUGCGUCCCAUCAGCUAGUUGGUAGGGUAAUGGCCUACCAAGGCGAUGACGGGUAGGGGACCUGAGAGGGUGGCCCCCCACAAUGGAACUGAAACACGGUCCAUACACCUACGGGAGGCUG
rnacentral:rRNA from 1 species